UUCUUAAUCGUUUGAAGAGUUGGAGUGUC
rnacentral:piRNA from 1 species